AAUAUUACAAUGAUCACAAAUAUAUCUCAAUUCAAUCUUAAUUUAAUCCUAGUUAAAAUCCUAUUGGACUUCAUUCAAACUUUAGGCCAAAACUAAUUAAAUCUUAAAUUAUAAACAAACCCUAAUAAAAUCCUAAAUCCUAAACCAAAUCUUAAAUCCUAAACCAAACUCUAAACAAAUCCUAAAUCAAACCCUAAUUAAACCUUAAACUCUAAAUCAAAUGCUAAAUCUUAAAUCCUAAAUCAAACCCUAAACCCUAA
rnacentral:lncRNA from 1 species